rnacentral:rRNA from 1 species
GACGAACGCUGGCGGCGUGCUUAACACAUGCAAGUCGAACGGAAAGGCCCUGCUUUUGUGGGGUGCUCGAGUGGCGAACGGGUGAGUAACACGUGAGUAACCUGCCCUUGAUUUUGGGAUAACUUCAGGAAACUGGGGCUAAUACCGGAUAGGAGCUCCUGCUGCAUGGUGGGGGUUGGAAAGUUUCGGCGGUUGGGGAUGGACUCGCGGCUUAUCAGCUUGUUGGUGGGGUAGUGGCUUACCAAGGCUUUGACGGGUAGCCGGCCUGAGAGGGUGACCGGCCACAUUGGGACUGAGAUACGGCACAGACUCCUACGGGAGGCAGCAGUGGGGAAUAUUGCACAAUGGGCGGAAGCCUGAUGCAGCAACGCCGCGUGCGGGAUGACGGCCUUCGGGUUGUAAACCGCUUUCGCCUGUGACGAAGCGUGAGUGACGGUAAUGGGUAAAGAAGCACCGGCUAACUACGUG